UCCGUGAGACCCGGGCCUGAGCUCUGACUUGCCUCCGUAACACUGCCGUUUCCUCCUCUGUGAGAUGGGGACCACAAAACCUGCUUGGCUGAGUCACUGGAAGGAACAGAGCAGAUCAAGGAGGCAGAAGCUCUUCAGAACUAUCGAGAACCAUGAAGUGGACGGAACUGUUACCGAGGAGGGAUUUCUGGCCACCAGACUGACACUUAACAGACACCAAGAGCUGAGGCCUGGCACAGGCCAGACUCGGCCAAAGAAAGGACAAAGAUGAUUAUAAAGCCAGAUAUGAGCCAUCUGGGCCAUGCCCGUGUAAUCCAGAAGGUUGUGGAGGAAAGGCAGGAGCAGAGAGGGUGGGCUUGCUCCUGGAGGUCUUCCUGGAGGUGGUGAGCCUGGAGCUAUUUUUCAGAGAUAAGGGGGAAUGGGGUUACCUGGAGGUGAAGACUGCAGCUGGGGAGAAUAGCCUCUAGUCUAGGUCAAGCCCAGACUUGAGUUCUGAGAAAAGUCAAGAAUGCAUUUCUCUCCAGGGUAUUCACUGCGGGAGAGGUGGGUCAAACGGGUUUGCCCUCGUCACCAGCUGUAGAAACAGAAGUGGACGUCCCCAUCCCCUGCCAGCUCAGGGAGCAGAAAGCUUCCGUGACCUUGACUCUCACAGUACAUUGCCCUUUGGCAGCUCCCACGACCUGUGUGCCCCACGGCUCAGGUCAUCUUGAAGCCAAGACUUAAGGAAUGGACCCUCCAGGACCCACCUCCCCUGGCCUCGCCUUAUAAGACCCCGGUGACCCUGGCGUCUGAGGCUACAGCAGGAAACAGGAACCCACACUCCUUGGGGUUCAGGAACUCUGGGCGGCACAGAGAGACCACCCAGACUCCUGCCCUGAGACUGAAGAUUCAGGGCACGGGUGGAAGGCUGCCCGGGGAAGACAAGGGAGACUGAGGCAUGGCGACCAACGACAUUGUCCCACUGGGUGUGACAGUGCUAGAAGAGGGACCCGGGACUCGGGGCUACCUCUUCAUACCUCCCGAAGAUCGCCUUGGUCUGUGGGGCUUGGGAGGAAGGCAGUGGAUGGCUGGAAGGCCCCCUCUGGCUCCAGCCUGGAAUACUCAGACGAAGGGAGGGAGGCUGGGAGGUCUUUGCCUGCCCUGGAACCUUUCCGGGACUCCCACCCCCUUUGGCUCCGUAUCCCGAGAAUGACGAAAAGAAAUGCAGCCGACCCCGACCCCGGCAGCGACCAGCAAUGCUGUGUAGGUGUCGCAAAGGGGUGGGAAGGAAGGCUGGAGGUCCUGGGGCUGGGGCGGCGGGCAGAGAUCAGAGAUCGUGCUGAGGGGCAGGAGGGGGAGGGGCUCUGGGAGCCUGCUUCAGGGACCAUCUUGGCAGGGGACUGCGCCCGGGGCAGGGAUUCCAGGGAGCGUGCUUGCCUCCUGGAAGGCCAUUUCAGGUGAGGAUAGCGAAGCGACCAUUUAUUAGGGCUUUCUUUGGUCGGGCCUUUUACCCACAUCCUCUCAAUUCCUACAACGACCACGCGAGGUAGGUGCUGCCACCCCAUUUUACAGACGGGAAGAAGGAGACCCGGAGACGUGACCUUCCCCCAAGCAUCACAGAGUCCACAGUGAAGAGCGGGGGUGCAAAGGGGCUCGAUCGAGCGUGGCGUGGACCGCUGUCCGCAGGCGGAAGGAGCCGGGGGCUCCCUGAUGAAGAGCAGGGCGUCUCAGAGGGGGACUUCCCUGUCCGCAGUGUCAGCCAGGCCGAUGACCUCAGCUGGAGGCGGAGGAGAAGCCUGAGGGAGGAUUUGGGUGUGAGCAAGAAAGGGUGGACCCCCCGGAGAGGAGAAAUAAACACUGGCAUCAAAAUCGCCCGCAGGGCUCCGGGCGGGGGGCGGGCGGAGAGCUGGGGGUGGGAUGUCCCCGAGGAGGACUCCGGGGGAGGUGCUGGCAAGGUGUGGGGGUUGCUGGCCACCCACUGUCUCUCCGUGGGGGCUCCCUAGUUCCCGCCGCCUCUUACAGAGCAAGUGAUUUCAGAGAAGGAGGCUGCGGUAGGCAAGGUCAGGGCCCGCCUGUGCCCCUAGAGAAAGGAUUUCACCGCUGGGACUUAUUCGCUGAACAAAGCCAGGGGCCCGCCACAGGCCAGGUCCUUUUCUAAGCACUGGGAAUCGACGAAUGAACACAGCAAACAAAAA